AAGACAUUUGCGGAGUGAUUGAAAAACGAGUUUUAAUGGACUCCGACUUAAGUUCGGCUGGAGGGAGUUGGUGGUUAUGGUUACAGAAGUCAUCAAAAGAGAGCGCCUGGGGAAUAGGAGUGGAGCUAGGCACUGCAGGUCUUGGAUUCACCUCUACAUCACCAGAGGAACAGAGGAGGAGUUGGUGGUUGACCCAUCAGAGGAGUUUUAUUAUGGAUGGCUACAGGUCAUGACCUUUCCCAUCUUCUACAUCUGGGUUCUCUUCAUCUGCAUAUGCUUACAUCAAAUGUAGGAGUGAAGCUAGGCACUGCAGGUCCUGGAUUAACCUCUACAUCACCAGAGGAACAGAGGAGGAGUUGGUGGUUGACCCAUCAGAGGAGUUUUAUUAUGGAUGGCUACAGGUCAUGACCUUUCCCAUCUUCUACAUCUGGGUUCUCUUCAUCUGCUUAUGCUUACAUCAAAUGUAGCCUAUGGCUGGCCGGUUAUCCGUUCCAAGGUGUUCGCUUCGUGUCAAUCUACUGUUUCUCUGUUUCUCUGUUUCUCUGUUCUUCUUCUGUUGUUUAUUUUUUGUGUCUUUCUUCUUUGUGUAAAAUAUGUUAAGACCUUGUUACACAUGAAAUAAAUUGUGAUUUGAUUGGAUUGAUAAUAAACAGAAGAAUAAAUAGACCACCUCAUAGACCUUUUUUUUUUUUUUAACCAAUUGAAAUGUUACAUUUGUAGAUAUUUGAUAUGUUGUUUAACAUUAUUUUAAUGAGACAUAAUUCCCUGCAAUAGAUGAAUCGUACGUGGCACUGUGGCUUACACUCGGCUACUUCUCUGACCGAUCAUUUCACAGAUAAUUGUAUUUUUGGGGUACAGAGAUGAGAUAAUC
ensembl:lncRNA